CCUACGGGUGGCUGCAGUGAGGAAUAUUGGUCAAUGGGCGCGAGCCUGAACCAGCCCAGUAGCGUGAAGGAUGACUGCCCUACGGGUUGUAAACUUCUUUUAUCAAGGAAUAAAGUGAGGCACGUGUGCCUUUUUGUAUGUACUUUAUGAUUAAGGAUCGGCUAACUCCGUGCCAGCCGACGCGGUAAUACGGAGGAUCCGAGCGUUAUCCGGAUUUAUUGGGUUUAAAGGGAGCGUAGGUGGGUUGUUAAGUCAGUUGUGAAAGUUUGCGGCUCAACCGUAAAAUUGCAAUUGAUACUGGCAGGCUUGAGUACAGUUGAGGUAGGCGGAAUUCGUGGUGUAGCGGUGAAAUGCUUAGAUAUCACGAAGAACUCCGAUUGCGAAGGCAGCUUACUAAACUGCCACUGACAUUGAUGCUCGAAAGUGUGGGUAUCAAACAGGAUUAGAUACCCCUGUAGUC
rnacentral:rRNA from 1 species